UAUUUAUCGUUCUAUUAUUACGCCACAACUACUGCCACGUAUCGGUUAGUUUGUACUAUCAUUGCUAAUCUCUGCAACAUAUGUACAUUUAAGGGUAACAAUCUCGUCUUAAUCUCCAUACAGCCCUUGUUCCAAGAUGUAGCUGAAAUUUCUGAGUUGCUGUUCGAGUAAAUUUAGUAAAUUACGUAAAUAAUAUGAGAAAGAGAAAAAAUAUGAGAUACCUUAGUGACUUCUGCUUUUCAAGUGUAUGAUUCACCAACAAUGUGGUACUUUUUCACUUCUAUUUACAAAACAUUUUACUGAAACAAGUGAAGUAAAUAGUUGUCCCUCAAUCUUAAUAUAUGAUUCAAUUAUGCCACCUGAUUUUUCUGAUCAAAGAAAGAAACAAAUGUUGAGCAAAGUAAUGACUUUCAAAUACAGAAGAAAAUUAUAAGAAAAUGAAUCGUUUUGAAGAGUGGUUGGAAAGAGCCUAUAGGCAGCAUAAUUUGGGAGUAUCUCUGGAUUGUGAUUUUUUUCAAUUCUUAUUCUUGAAAGGAACUCUGAAAAAAAGAAUUGAGUUAUUAGCCCUUCUCUGUGUGUUGUUAAAAGAUGAGUUUUCAUAUGAACACAAAAUGUAUUAACAUUUUAUUGCAAUUCUUUUAUUUUGCUCCUUUACUUUUAAUGCAUUCUUUCACAAAAACAGCCUAGAACUGUAUUGUUCAUUUGAGGUCAACAUAUUUCCCACAAAUACAGUGAGAGUGCUGAUAGUUUUUCAGUUUUGGGUUUGAGUCCAGAUAUUAUUAAGCAAUUGAAAGAGAUUCAGUUCAUGAGCUUAAAAGACUCUUGGGCUACCUGUCCUUACUAUUAUUUCAUCAGUUCUAAUUCUCUGAAAUGCAUUUGAUUAGUGCAGCUUUUAAUCAUUAUCAAAAGGUCUGUAUGUUAUGUGUGUUUCAACUGGAUCAACCCUUCAUAGACUACAACUCUCUUUCUUCUCUAAAUUUGACUAUAUAGCUUAUGUAUCUGAAAUGCAUGUGUUUUUUAGGCAAAUAUUUCAGUGGCCAACAGUCAAUAUAGUGAAAUUUUUGGUUAUCUUUAUUUCCCUUUGAUUUCUGCCUAGUGUGUUCUAUCAAUUUAUAAAUAAUAAUUCAUUAUUAGCAAUGGAAGCAACAUUGGUUCAAAAUAGCAUUCUGCACAGGGUCUUGCAGAUAAAUUGAGACAAUUUUUAUGAUGCAUAAAAUUGGUUAUAAAUACUAAAAUAAUGGUAAUAGACAAAUAUAAUUUUAAUGUGAUAUAUAUUACAACAAAAGCAUCACUCAGUAUGGCCACCCUUUUGGACAAUUACUGUUUGCAUAUGAGAACGAAUUUUUUUUGCAGCUGCUGCAACUUCUACUAUUUUGAUUUUGCAUGUUAUAUGCACGAUGCAGGUCUUCAAACUGUUGACGCUCAAGUGUGGUGAAGCAUUGGACCUUGCAUGAAGUACACCCCAUAAAAAGUAAUCAAGAAGGUUGAGGUCUGGGCUAUUACUGGGCCAGAUGUUGACCCACACAAAAAAUAGCACUUUCUCACCAAGGAAGGCCUGUGUUGCUUUUGACCUGUGGCAUGGUGCAGAAUACUGGAUAAGCACCACAAUUUCAAGCCCAAACUUCUGCUCCAUCCAAGUAACAGAGAGCUCUUCAGAAUGUCCAGAUACUCCUUUGUGCUGAUUUUCAAGCCAGACUCAAUGAAGUGUAAAUCCAUGACACUUCCAUCACUUGCCACCGCUCCAAAUACUAUCACAGAGGUAGGAUUCUUAGUCUCAAAAACAGGAGGGAUGUCAGAAGGGUUGUAUGCAAUCACUUGAGAAUUUCUGCAAUUCACCUCAGCAUCUACAAACACGAGACUUUUUCCUGCACCUCGAUGUUUGAUGAAUAACAGAAGCUUUAGGCAUCUCUUGGCUCUGAUUUGCUUUGGCCUUGGCUGUUAGGAAGUGAUGGCAUCCUCAAACAUAGCUAGUCAUGCCAUGGUUCCUGUUCACAGUUCUGGACACUGUGAAAAGGAACACAUUUAUCUCAAUUUAUCUGCAAGACCUUGCAUGUCUUACUUGACAUGAAUAUACUAUUGAAAGCUGCAAGACUGCAGUAUUCAUCUUGAGAAAGCUUCUCUUGCACUAUAUGUCUAAAUGAAAAGCUUUCUCACGAUAAAUAUUGCAGUGUGGUGGCUUUCAAUAGUAUACCCACAUUAAGUAAGUUAGACAAAAUGUUUUUUAAAUAGUAACUUUGCCUAAAUAGUUUUCUCUAUGAGGAUGAUAGAAUUCUGUACAAUGUAUUUGACAUCCUUAGUUGUACAGACAUUCAAUCUCUCACCAAGGUUAUUUUAUUGUUUCAUAUCUUUGUUAUCAUCAUCAAGCAGGACAGAAAAUGUGAUACUUGAUGUUUCAUUGCUCUAUUAAUGCAGACAUCUAGAUGGAUAUUAGUUCUAAUAUAAUGGCAGGGAUUUUUAUUCAUAAUUAUAUAUUUAAAGUUUCUUAAAAACUACUCAACUCAAAGAGCCAAAAGUGUCUCUCUACUGCAAUUCUUUUUUUUUUCCUCUUGUAACUCAAAUACUACACAUUGUAGAAAAGUUUUAAAUUUCUUCAUCAUAAUUCAAGGAAUCCAUAAGCAACAAGAUAAAACUAGUAACUUGUAGUUUGGUGUGGGAACUAUGAAGUUAUUGUUUUAAGAGAUUUCCGAGUAGUAGUGAACAUCAGUGAUAAAAGGGUAUAUAAGCCUACACUGUUGAAAAAUCCCUGAUACAAAAGGAAUAUAACAUCAAAUUCAUUGCACAAGUUAUAGAUGAGACCUGAAAUAGGGUGAAACUUUCUCACAAAACCAGUUGCAACUUAUAUUCAUAAUUUUACUUGUUUGUCUUUGCUAGAAGGGUUUAUAACUUCAUUUGUAAUGAUACUUUUUUGUUAUGAGAUACUCAAAUCAUAAUUUGAACUUGUGUACCAAAAUGUUAUGUGAUCAAACUACAUUGUUUCACAGCCUUCUAUACAUGACGGGAAAAUCAUGGAAUUCUACAAUAGUAUAUAUAGCUCUACAAUAUACUGAAAAAUUCAGAACUUUGAAACCCAUUUUUACUUUUUUAUUUGUUCAAGAAAUGGUUUACUAAACAAGAUUUCCUUAACAUAAUUUUUAUGGGCUCUUCCAUUUCAGUCUCUUAUAUACAGAUAAAUGAUUACUUGCUGUAAAUGCUUCCCACAAAUUUCAUUGUAGCAUCUAUUUCUAAAUACUUUGGAAUAUAGUGAGAUGCUAUUAGUUGGCAAUAUUUUCCCACACAUAUAAGGUGGCGAGCUGGCAGAAUCAUCAACACACCAGGCAAAAUGCUUAGUGGCAUUUUGUCUGUCUUUACAUU
rnacentral:lncRNA from 1 species